rnacentral:rRNA from 1 species
UACGUAGGGGGCAAGCGUUGUCCGGAUUUAUUGGGCGUAAAGAGCGUGUAGGCGGCCAGACAGGGCAGCUGUGAAAACUCGAGGCUCAACCUCGAGACGUCGGUUGAAACCGUCUGGCUAGAGUCCGGAAGAGGAGAGUGGAAUUCCCGGUGUAGCGGUGAAAUGCGCAGAUAUCGGGAAGAACACCCGUGGCGAAGGCGGCUCUCUGGGACGGUACUGACGCUGAGACGCGAAAGCGUGGGGAGCGAACAGG